rnacentral:rRNA from 1 species
UACAGAGGUGUCAAACGUUGUCCGGAAUUACUGGGCGUAAAGGGCGCGUAGGCGGCCUUAUAAGUCAUGUGUGAAAGCUCUGGGCUCAACCCAGGAAUUGCAUGUGAUACUGUAAGGCUUGAGUUCGGUAGAGGAGGGCGGAAUUCCAGGUGUAGCGGUGAAAUGCGUAGAUAUCGGGAGGAACACCGGUGGCGAAGGCGGUUCUCUGGGCCUUACCUGACGCUGAGGAGCGAAAGCGUGGGGAGCGAACAGG